GGGAAUGUAGUUCAGUGGGUGAGUUUAUGCUUAGCAUGCACAAAGCACUGGGUUCAAUUCCCAGUACCCA
rnacentral:tRNA from 1 species